rnacentral:rRNA from 1 species
UACGGGGGGAGCAAGCGUUGUUCGGAUUUACUGGGUGUAAAGCGCGUGUAGGCGGGAGGCCAAGUCUGCGGUGAAAUCGCUCGGCUCAACUGGGCGGGGUCCGUGGAAACUGGUCACCUGGAGGACGGUAGAGGCGAGUGGAAUUCCCGGUGUAGUGGUGAAAUGCGUAGAGAUCGGGAGGAACACCAGUGGCGAAGGCGAAUCCCUGGACAACUCCUGACGCUGAGGCACGAAAGCUAGGGGAGCAAACAGG